rnacentral:rRNA from 1 species
UACAGAGGGGGCUAGCGUUGUUCGGAAUUACUGGGCGUAAAGGGCGCGUAGGUGGCCUGUUAAGUCGAACGUGAAAUCCCCGAGCUCAACUCGGGAACUGCGUCCGAUACUGGCGGGCUUGAAUCCGGGAGAGGGAUGCGGAAUUCCAGGUGUAGCGGUGAAAUGCGUAGAUAUCUGGAGGAACACCGGUGGCGAAGGCGGCAUCCUGGACCGGCAUUGACGCUGAGGCGCGAAAGCUAGGGGAGCAAACGGG